UCCUGGCUCAGAUUGAACGCUGGCGGUAUGCUUAAGACAUGCAAGUCGUUCGGUAGAGGCUUCGGCCUUGAGAGCGGCGGACGGGUGAGUAACACGUGGGAAUCUCCCUAUUAGUGGGGGACAGCCCAGCGAAAGCUGGAUUAAUACCGCAUACGCCCUACGGGGAAAGCAGCAAUGCGCUAAUAGAUGAGCCCGCGUAAGAUUAGCUAGUUGGUAAGGUAAAGGCUUACCAAGGCGACGAUCUUUAGCUGGUCUGAGAGGAUGACCAGCCACAUCGGGACUGAGACACGGCCCGGACUCCUACGGGAGGCAGCAGUCGGGAAUAUUGGACAAUGGGCGCAAGCCUGAUCCAGCAAUACCGCGUGUGUGAAGAAGGCCUGCGGGUUGUAAAGCACUUUCAGUUGGGAAGAUAAUGACGUUACCAACAGAAGAAGCACCGGUCUAACUCCGUGCCAGCAGCCGCGGUAAUACGGAGGGUGCAAGCGUUAAUCGGAAUUACU
rnacentral:rRNA from 1 species